rnacentral:rRNA from 1 species
AAUGAACGUUGGCGGCGUGGAUUAGGCAUGCAAGUCGUGCGCGAACUGUAGCAAUACAGGGAGAGCGGCGAAAGGGAGAGUAAUACAUAGGUACCUACCCCCGGGCCUGGGAUAGCGGCGGGAAACUGCCGGUAAUACCAGAUAACGUCCCCGGACCAGAGAUGUGAUUUCACUUGGGGAGGGGCCUAUGGACUAUCAGCUUAUUUGCAGGGUAACGGCAUAACAAGGCAAAGACGGGUAUGGGGCGUGAGAGCGUGCCCCCACUCACUGAGACUGAGACACUGCCCAGACACCUACGGGUGGCUGCAGUCGAGAAUCUUCGGCAAUGGGCGCAAGCCUGACCGAGCGACGCCGCGUGCGGGAUGAAGGCCUUCGGGUUGUAAACCGCUGUCGUAGGGGAGGAAGGGCCUGCGAAGAGCAGGACUUGACCGAUCCUAGGAGGAAGGGCCGGCUAAUCUCGUGCCAGCCGCCGCGGUAACAC